rnacentral:rRNA from 1 species
AUUGAACGCUGGCGGCAUGCUUUACACAUGCAAGUCGAACGGCAGCGCGGGCUUCGGCCUGGCGGCGAGUGGCGAACGGGUGAGUAAUACAUCGGAACGUGCCCAGUAGUGGGGGAUAGCUCGGCGAAAGCCGGAUUAAUACCGCAUACGACCUGAGGGUGAAAGCGGGGGAUCUUCGGACCUCGCGCUAUUGGAGCGGCCGAUGGCAGAUUAGCUAGUUGGUGGGGUAAAGGCCUACCAAGGCGACGAUCUGUAACUGGUCUGAGAGGACGACCAGCCACACUGGGACUGAGACACGGCCCAGACUCCUACGGGAGGCAGCAGUGGCGAAUUUUGGACAAUGGGCGAAAGCCUGAUCCAGCAAUGCCGCGUGUGUGAUGAAGGCCUUCGGGUUGUAAAGCACUUUUGGCGGGAACGAAAAGGACUGUGCCAAUACCACGGUUCGAUGACGGUACCCGCAGAAUAAGCACCGGCUAACUACGUG